UACGAAGGGGGGCUAGCGUUGCUCGGAAUCACUGGGCGUAAAGGGUGCGUAGGCGGGUCUUUAAGUCAGGGGUGAAAUCCUGGAGCUCAACUCCAGAACUGCCUUUGAUACUGAAGAUCUUGAGUUCGGGAGAGGUGAGUGGAACUGCGAGUGUAGAGGUGAAAUUCGUAGAUAUUCGCAAGAACACCAGUGGCGAAAGCGGCUUCCUGGUCCGACACCGACGUUCAGGCACGAAAGCGUGGGGAGCAAACAGG
rnacentral:rRNA from 1 species